rnacentral:rRNA from 1 species
UACGGAGGGUGCAAGCGUUAUCCGGAUUCACUGGGUUUAAAGGGUGCGUAGGAGGGCAGGUAAGUCAGUGGUGAAAUCUCCAAGCUUAACUUGGAAACUGCCGUUGAUACUAUCUGUCUUGAAUACCGUGGAGGUGAGCGGAAUAUGUCAUGUAGCGGUGAAAUGCAUAGAUAUGACUUAGAACACCAAUUGCGAAGGCAGCUUGCUAAACAAAUAUUGACGCUGAGGCACGAAAGCGUGGGGAGCAAACAGG